UGUAUCUGAAGCCUGACGAGGAUGAGAACCUCCGGGGGCAAGAGGUUCGACCCGAGCGAAGCGAGAGAACGUUGCGUCAGCAACGGCCCGCAGGGCGAGCCAUCCUCUAUCACCGGCA
rnacentral:sRNA from 8 species